GCACCGGUUAGCUCAGUCAGUUGAGUGUAGCACUAACAAUGCCAAGGACGCGGGUUUGAUUCCCGUUCGGUUCC
rfam:Apaloderma vittatum contig19289, whole genome shotgun sequence.